GCAGACUUCCUGUGUGAUCUCCCGCGGAGCGUUCGUGCGUUCCACUGGCAGACUCGGAUUGGUGAAAGCCGAGCGCUCGCUCGAGGAUUCAGGCGGCUGCUCCAGAUCGACCAGUGAAAAACGCCAUACACCCAUGCCCGAUAGUGGUACCACAGAGCAUAGCGUGUACUCCUUCGAACGCGACAAAGAAAGCUUCACUAAGCGAGGCGUCACAACAACAGCCAAAAACAUGCUAAAGCCCUGGAACAACGGCGGUAAACGAGUAUCUAAACGCGAGUGGCAUUCUUGCUUUCGUUGCGCCUGUGAAACCUGACAGCGGUGGCAGCAUGUCGUCCGAUCCGCUUUCAACUGAACGCUCGCCGACUGAUGCGGAAGAAGCGGUUUGCCUGUUUCGCACGGGCAAUCGAAGAAAAUCGUGAAGCUCACAGGCGCCUGGAAACUCGCCGACCUCCGCGAAAGCCUGCUGACAGGAGGGUUCGCGUACCUGGUGACAGGCAGCGAUCUUCUAAUACAGAUAUUCAACGACCGGUUCCAGUACUACGUCGACAUGGGGGAAAGCACAACAGUGUAUGAUGGAGCACUGAUUAACUUGGUUGUCUCCCCAAGUGACUCCAAAGCAUCAGAGGCACCAAAAAAGCCGCUGUCUGGUAGUGCAGUUGAACAUGUGGAGAAUGCAGUCAAAGGACAGUACAAGGAAUUGUCAACAUACACACUGCCUACGAUGCCCAUUGACAUUGCUGCACACCUCUGAAGGAGACGUGCCUGACAGUCUUCAAAAGAAAAUUGAAUGGAUUGCCUACAAUUCGUCAUCUCAGACAAUGUACCCAAAUAAAUUGUGCAAUGUUGCUGCAAGGAGCCUCGUAAACCAGUACCUAGCGCUGAGGGACACAUUGGACCUUGGCCAUUCCUCAUGGUAUAUGUGCCUAAGAAACAAGUACAAAAACAUGCGAAAGUGAAUGCCACCAGGAUGCCCUGAUGUCAAUGCAGAAGUGAAAGCAAGAAAGGCAAGCGAAAGUUGUGACACAUGCUAAAAAUCUGGAUUUCGAAGACAGGACGUCUUUGUUGGUGUUGCCGCAUUACCAAGCCCUGGGCGCUUCUGCAUUCGGUCCUGGAAAUUCCAUGGUGGAGGCCGCUAGUUCUUUGAAGCAGCAAAAGAGCACUUAUCAGCAUCUUCACUCCUCAACAUGCUGCUGAAGCCACCAACCAGUCACUUCAGCAUGACAGCAUCAACAGGCUACAAUAUACACGAGGCAUUGCAACCGUUCAUCUCGUCAUUGUGCAGGUUGACCAUCAAAACAGAGUGGGCAGGUGUCACAAAGUGCGUGCCCGCGUCCCCCUCGAGAGGGUCGCCAUUGCCGCCGCAGCCGCAACGCUGCUUGCACGGCGAUGGGGAACAGGGCUCCCCAUUAUUCCCAAGCUCGCCGCACCGGUGGGUCACGUGGGACGCCGGGAGCUUGACGAGGGACGAGGCGGCUUGGCGAGCGGGCAGAGAGGUUUGGAAGACGGAGCAGCGUGGUCAUGCACCGGGAGACAGCUGAAGAUGUGGUCGGCAGGUUGAAAUCUCCAGGCCGAAUCCUUUGCCGGUCGAUCGACAGACGGUGCAAGUCCGUCAAGAUCUUUGGCAGCGAGGUACCGGCAGCCCGAUGCUCUUCAGAUCGGGAUCUCGGCAAGCACGCCACAGAUAAGCCUCGUGUUCCAGCCCACUCUCAGAACUUUCCGCCGGACUCUCUUUUUUUGAUCGCGUUUCAUCUUUCAUCUAAUCAUUCGUCGCAUGUUAAUUCUUGUAUGUUCAGCUAGAGUAGUGUUUGCUGCGUUUAUUGUCGCGUCUAUUUUUCAUUUGUGUCACAUAUUUUUUUUUUAUUUCGCGAGUGUUAGUAGUUCCCUCUUGGUGGGCUUUGUGUCGCACGUUGCGUCAGGGCGCGUGUUGUGUGUGACCAGCACGCGCUCCGUGAAGCUAAGGCCAACUGCUUGUAUUUUGUGUAUUCUUUUUUUCAUUAUGCCUCGGGCAUGAUUUAACUUAAUAAAUCGAGCGUAUGUUUGUA